GUGUAUAUGUGUGUAGUGUAUAUGUGUGUAGUGUAUAUGUGUGUAGUGUAUAUGUGUGUAGUGUAUAUGUGUGUAGUGUAUAUGUGUGUAGUGUAUAUGUGUGUAGUGUAUAUGUGUGAGGUGUAUAUGUGUGUAGUGUAUAUGUGUGUAGUGUAUAUGUGUGAGGUGUAUAUGUGUGUGGUGUAUAUGUGUGUAGUGUAU